GCAUAUCAAGAAGCUGAUUAAACAGCAUGAUCAUCACAAAGAUGCAGCUUUUGCUGGGGACAAUAAAAGGCCACUAAAAUGUGCAGUUUUGUAACAACACAACUGGCAUGCUGACUGCAGGGAUGUCCAUCAGAGCUGUUGCCAGAUACUUUAAUGUUAUUUUCUCUACCAUAAGUCACCUCCAACGUCGUUUUAGAGAAUUUAGCAGUACGUCCAACCGGCCACACAACUGAAGACCACAUGAAACCCCGCUGGCCCAGCACCUCUACAUCUGUCUUUGUCACCUGCGGGAUUGUCUGAGACCCAGACACCCAGACAGCUGACGAAACUGUGGAUUUGCACAACUGAAUAAUUUCUGCAGAAACUGUCAAAAACUGUCUCAGGGAAGCUCAUUUGUGUACUUGUUGUCCUCAGCAGGGUCUUGACCUGACUUCAGUUCUGCUUCACAACUGACUUCAGUAGGCAAAUGCUAACCAAAUGCUAACCUACACGACCACUGGUAUGCUCGAGAAGUAUGCUCUUCACGGAUUAAUCACGGUUUCACCUGUACCAGGCAGAUGGCAGACAACGUGUAUGGCGUCGUGUAGUCGUUUAGCUGCAGUUUGGACUGAAGGGGCAUUUUGACCAGAGGACCUCGGCUACAAGAGGAGAUAUCGGGAGAGAGAGGGAGGUUGCACGACCAUAAUACCUUGCAUCACCCUUCAUCAAGGUACGAAAGCACAGAUUUUAUACUCUGUUAAUCAAAGAUAUCACUCAGUGUAUUCUCGAUGGCUCAGGUCUUUAGCUUGUAGGCCUGCUCAGACCCCAAAAUCACUCUUAACGACACUCUUCUUGCUAGUCAACUCAUAACCUAAUACUUACUGGCACAUUGCUAUUUAUCUUUAUGGAGUC
rnacentral:lncRNA from 8 species